rnacentral:rRNA from 1 species
UACGGGGGGUGCAAGCGUUGUUCGGAAUUAUUGGGCGUAAAGCGCGUGUAGGCGGUCUGAUUAGUCUGAUGUGAAAGCCCUGGGCUCAACCCAGGAAGUGCAUUGGAUACUGUCAGACUUGAAUACGGGAGAGGGUAGUGGAAUUCCUAGUGUAGGAGUGAAAUCCGUAGAUAUUAGGAGGAACACCGGUGGCGAAGGCGACCCCCUGGUUGGAUACUGACGCUGAGACGCGAAAGCGUGGGGAGCAAACAGG